GGUGCCGAGCCGGAGCCGGGAGAGAGGAGCGAGCGCUGGAAGAGGCACCGCGCUGCCACAGCUGUGCGCGGCGAUCGGAGGAGCGCGGGCGGCGCCCUCCGAAGAUUUAACCCUUUGCCCGCAGAGCCUCGAGGUGGGCGAACACAAAGCACGUCGCGAAAGCCUCAGACCGAAAGGAUCCCGACCAUCACGGGAACGGCGCACGGCCAUAAGUCGGUAUCGCGCCGGCUGUGCCGUACGACCCCGGGACGGCGGCACACAGCAGAGGGGCCCGGCCCUGCCCUGCCCCGUCCUUCGCCGCCGUGUGCCGCCGGGCACAUCGCUCCCACACAUGGUCCGCAUUUCGCACGGCAGCAGCGUGCUUCCUCCGGGCCUCACGUUGCCGCUCUCCAAACAGAGAGAGAGAGAGAGGGGAAAAAAAAAAAGAAACAACACCAGAGGUUUAGAGGAAGUUAAAAAUCAGGCGAGCUAAGAAAUGCUCCCCGUUACACACAUCCUGCUUGAAAGCGAAAGCCCGGCGUUCCGGCCCUGCUCCCCGGCACUGGCGCCGGCGUUGGACGCGGCGAGGUGACCGCUCCGUGCUUGGGGCUCGCCGCUGCACCCCGUCCCCCUGCACCCUCGCCCCGGGGCCGGGCGCUGGGAGAGCAUCGCCCCGCGUCCCCCCUUCCCUUCCCUUCCCUUCCCUUCCCUUCCCUUCCC
ensembl:lncRNA